CUGCAGAGUCAGGAAAAGCAUCAGUGACACAUUCUCAGAAUGCACUGUUUGCAGAUGUUCCAGAACUGUGUGUUUCUAAGGAAGCUCUGAGCUGAAGAGACUUAUCCAAGGGUAUGGGCACUAACUCUACCUGCAAAGGGUAGAGAAGACUUAACAAGCUCCUUUACACAUCACAUGCUGCAAACCAGAGCUCAGCCUCUGAAAAAUACCUCCAGGUGCCAGCUUUCAGUAGGCUUUGGAUAGUGCUUGUGAAUGGACCAUGCCUAGUCUCAACUUGUCUGUUAGGAAUAAAGGUUCUCUUGGAACCACAUACAUCUGGAGCUCAGGAAGGCAAAUGAGAAUGUUUCACUGAUCUCAGAAGUGUGAAACCCCAUCAAGACCAACAAAGAACUACUCCUGUUCUACCAUUCCAGGACCAAGAAACAAGACAUGGGAGUAGCUGUCAGGACACACAAUGUUUGCAGAAUGGCUGAGGUUGGCACCACCAUACUUCACACCUAAUGGCAGGUUAUGUGGGCGCUGCUGGCUCUCAUCUGGUCUCCAGGGGAUGCAAUCUGAGUUUCGGCAGCUUUGAUGAUGAGUUUACUCAAG
rnacentral:lncRNA from 1 species